rnacentral:tmRNA from 1 species
GGGGGCGAACGGUUUCGACGGGGGCAGGUGACGCCAGAGCUGCGUGCCGAGGUCCCGAGGCCUCGUAAAACGCUCGGGAACGUCCAAGAAGUGCGAACCAGAACUUCGCACUGGCUGCGUAGGUAAACACAGCCCGUCCUUCCGUGGGGUCGCCCGAGCCGCGCGGAAGGGCGUCGCGAAGUCGGGCUAGCUCGCGCGGAGGCCGCAACCACGUGAGCGAACCUCUCGCGGCUGGCCAAGUCGGGGCAGCGCACCGGCCCACGGCUUGGCGAGAUCGAAACGGUGCGCUACGCACGUAGACGCUCGGGCGAAGCCGUCUCCGGACGCGGGUUCGAUUCCCGCCGCCUCCAUGC